rnacentral:lncRNA from 1 species
UUGAACAUAGAACAGAACUGGCAAUUUCUUAUCUUAAAGGACCUGCUAUUCAGUGGUGGAGGGGUACUGGAUAUGCACCCUCCAAUGUGCCAUGGCAUAAAUUCUGUUCUUACCUAUCUGAUAGGUUCUCUGUGGAAUCAGCUUGUGAUGUGGUCAGUAACUUUCAUGCUGCACAUCAAGCAACAACAGUGGCUGCUUAUGUGGAACAAUUUGAGCAAUUGGUCAAUGGAAUGAGGAGAGAAAACCCUGCUAUACCUGAUGACUAUUAUGUCUCCAGCUUUGUCUCAGGCCUCAACCCUUACAUCAGAAGUUUAGUGGAAUGUUUUAAACCAAAAGAUCUGCAAACUGCCGUGUGGUAUGCCAGAAGAAUGGAGAAAUCUCAGCCUUCCUCUCAGUCAGUGCAAAUAAGCAGUAUGUUCCUCAACCAAAAAGACAAGUCAUUUUUGAACAGCCCAAACAACUGCUUCCAACUGCACCACAAAACAGGAAUGUGGUUAUUCAGCAGGCCAAACAGAACCAGGUGUGUUAUAAGUGUAGAGAGCCUUGGGUGCCUGGUCAUAGGCAAGUGUGUAAAAUGAACCAGAAAGCUCAAAUCCAAGCUCUACAAGCUCAAGAAGAUGGAACUCCUGAAACUAUAUUUGUGGCAGAAUAUGAUGAUCAGGAGCUAGACAAUACAGAGCAGCUAACUGAGGAAACAGUACUGAAAGUAUCAAUGCAUGCUGCCAUGGGCAUUGGAGCAACUAAAAAUACUUUCAUACUGACAGUUAAAUUGGGAAAUACUCUGGCAAUUGCACUGGUGGACAGUGGCAGUACUACUACUUUUAUAUCUCCUCAGAUGGCUAGUAAGUUGGAUGUUGUUCCCAGUCCUACACCAAAAACUAAAGUAGUAGUUGCUAGUGGAGGGAUCCUCUAGAGUGAAUUCCAAGCAAAGAACUGUCACUAUGCAAUACAAGGCCAUGCAUUUAUUGACAACUUCAGAGGGCCCCGUACAAAUGGAUUUCAUUUAUUGACAGCUUCAGAGGGCCCCAUACAAGUUAAAAGGCUAUGACAUCAUCUUAGGAGUAGAUUGGUUGAGGAAAUAUAGCCCCAUACAAAUGGAUUUCAUUAAGAUGGAAAUGAAGAUAUCUGCUCCUGAAGGGCAUUUUAUCACUUUUGUGGAUGAAACUGUACCUCUUACUACUGUUACUGAAGUAACUGACCACACUGAGAAAUUAGUGGAACAAG